rfam:Schistosoma curassoni strain Dakar, Senegal genome assembly, scaffold: SCTD_scaffold0002979
GCACUGCCGAGGAGUCCCAUACUAGGACGAAGCGGCCGUCCAGUGC